ensembl:rRNA 5S_rRNA 5S ribosomal RNA
AUCUAUGGCCGUACCACCCUAAACGCACCUGAUUUCGUCUGAUCUUGGAAGCUAAGCAGUGUUGGGCCUGGUUAGUGCUUGGAUGGGAGACAGGUUAAAGACUGCAGGGUGAAGGGUG